ensembl:snoRNA small nucleolar RNA SNORA44
UGGCAUGCUAUCCUAAGGACCUGUGCUCACUUGUAGCUUGUGGUUCUCCAAGUGCAUGCCAGAGAAGUGGGCGGUCUUUGACUGUGGCGGCCUGUGCGUGCCGCCAGCAGCCACUCAGCUGCCCGACAAUG